rnacentral:rRNA from 1 species
CCUACGGGUGGCAGCAGUGAGGAAUAUUGGUCAAUGGCCGGAAGGCUGAACCAGCCAUGCCGCGUGAAGGUCAGUGCCCUAUGGGCGUUAAACUUCUUUUGUGCGGGAGCAAUCAUGGUCACGUGUGGCCAGACGAGAGUACCGUACGAAUAAGCAUCGGCUAACUCCGUGCCAGCAGCCGCGGUAAUACGGGGGAUGCAAGCGUUAUCCGGAUUUAUUGGGUUUAAAGGGUGCGUAGGCUGUGAGGUAAGUCAGCGGUGAAAUGCCCCCGCUCAACGGGGUGAAGUGCCAUUGAUGCUGCCUUGCUGGAAUGCGGAGGCUGUGGGAGGAAUGUGUGGUGUAGCGGUGAAAUGCAUAGAUAUCACACAGAACACCGAUUGCGAAGGCAGCUCACGAAUCCGCGAUUGACGCUGAUGCACGAAAGCGUGGGUAUCAAACAGGAUUAGAUACCCUAGUAGUC